UUUCCUGAAUUUCCCAUACCCAUCCAAGCAUCUCAUGCUUGGUUGAAGUUUCCAUGACAUGUGGAAGCAUAAGAAUUAAGUCUGAGAGUCGCUUCGCAUAGAAGGACUCUUUGGAGAAAUAAUUCUCCGAUGCUUUUCGAUGUGUCGAGAGGUUCCAAGGUGCGCCUACUCUAUCCAAUGGAUAGAGUCUGAUCUCAUAGCCAUCCAAUGGCUCAAAAAAGAGGCACCCAUC
rnacentral:lncRNA from 1 species